GCAUACACUUCACAAAGUAGUUCUCCACCACGGGCAAAGGCACCAGGGCCGUUUGGCAAGGUCUGGAGACAAUUUUCAAUUUUCGCAACUGGAAGUGCUACUGACAUCUGGUGAGUGGAGGCCGGGGAUGCUGCUAAACAUCCUACAGUGAGCAGGACAGCCCCCCCAACAAGGAAGUAACAAUAGUGCCGAAGAUGGAAGAAACUUAAAAUGAAAGAAGAAAAGAAAAAGCCCCACCUGUAGCCCUUGGUAGCAAUUUAAUAGCUGACAAGAAGAGGGCUUCAUGACCACAGAGAUACUAGUUUUGACAUGAAAAUACUCCGUCAGAAUGCGAACGCUGGUCCAAUACAUGAACAGAUACCGUUUCCCCUGACGCUUUUUGGCGAGACUUCACAAGGAACCUGUUUUCAGCAUUUCAGUCACCUAAAACUGAACAAAAAGCUAAUGCAGUUGAGGCACCAGAGUUCACAGGGCUGACAAAUGGAUAAAAUGUUCCUUUGCUAGAUUAAAAAAAAAAAGCUGUAAAACUG